rnacentral:rRNA from 1 species
GCAAGUUAGUAAGGGCUCGGGGUGGAUGCCUCGGCUGCCCGAGGGGAUGAAGGGCGUGCUAAGCUGCGAUAAGCCGGGUGGAGGCGCAGAAAGCCUGUGAGGCCCGGAUGCCCGAAUGGGGAAACCCGACAGGGUGUUGAGCCCUGUCAUCCGCCGUAAGGCGGAGCCAAAACGGGACGAAGUAAAACCUUCUAGUAGUCCCAGGAAAGGAAAUCAACCGAGACUCCCUGAGUAGCGGCGAGCGAAAGGGGAUCAGCCCAAACCGUACGGGUGCCAUGGUGGCGGCCUUAGCCCGUACGGGGUAGCGGGACGCAUCCGGAGAGGUCCGCCAGCCUCUCGGGGAGUUACAAAACCCUCACCUAGCCGAAGUCCGCUGGAAUGCGGCGCCAUAGAGGGUGAAAGCCCCGUAGGCUAAAGGUGUAGGGUCUCCCUGGGAUGCGAUCCCAAGUACCGCGGCCCCCGUGGAAGGUCGCGGGAAUCAGGGGGGACCUCCCUCCAAGGCUAAGUACUACGGGCAGACCGAUAGCGCAUAGUACCGCGAGGGAAAGGUGAAAAGAACCCCGGCAAGGGGAGUGAAAUAGAACCUGAAACCCCGAGUCCACAAGCCAGUGGAAGGGUCCUAGUGGCCCGACUGCGUGCCUUUUGCAAAAUGAGCCAGGGAGUUGUCCUCGGCGGCGAGGUUAAGCCGUAAGGCGAAGCCGUAGCGAAAGCGAGUCCGAACAGGGCGCUUAAGUCGCCGGGGGCAGACGCGAAGCGGAACGAUCUACCCAUGCCCAGGGUGAAGGACGGGUAACGCCGUCUGGAGGCCCGAACGGGUCGGUGCUGCAAAACCGUCCGAUGAGGUGUGGGUAGCGGUGAAAAGCCAAUCGCGUUCCGUGAUAGCUCGUUCUCCCCGAAAUAGGUCGACGCCUAGCGUCACCCGUUCCUUCCCGGAGGUAGAGCCACUGGUUGGGCUAGGGCCCCGAAAGGGGUACCGAACCCUGCCAAACUCCGAAUGCCGGGAAAGGUAGGGUGGCAGUCAGUCCCCGGGGGAUAAGCUCCGGUGGACAAGAGGGAAACAGCCCAGACCGCCAGCUAAGGCCCCGAAAUCCGGGCUAAGUGGGGAAGGAUGUGCGGCUGCUAAGACAGCCGGGAGGUUGGCUUAGAGGCAGCCAUCCUUUAAACAGUGCGUAACAGCUGACCGGCCGAGCGGCCGUGCGCCGAAAAUUUAGCGGGGCUCAAGCCCGGUGCCGAAGCUGCGGGUCGUACGAACCUCCGGGUUCGUACGGCGGUAGGGGAGCGUUCCCUGUGGGUUGAAGUCUCACCGUGAGGUGGGAUGGACUGCAGGGAAGUGAGAAUCCUGGCAUGAGUAGCAGCGAAGGCAGGUGAGAAACCUGCCCGCCGGAAGCCCAAGGUUUUGGCGGCAAUGUAAAUCAGCCGCCAGUUAGCCGGGACCCUAAGGUGAGGCCGAAAGGCGUAGCCGAUGGGAAGCGGGUCAACAUUCCCGCGCCAGCGGUGUGGAGCCCGAGUCGUGACGCAGGAGGCUAGGGCGAGCCCGCUAUGGAAUGCGGGUCCAAGGUAGUAGGAGGGGGUGGCAGGCAAAUCCGUCACCCCAUACUCCGAGAGCCGAUGGGGUAACUCGCCUGACGCCACACUGCCGAGAAACAACGGCGCGGGCGUUGAAGCACCGCUGCCCGUACCGCAAACCGACACAGGUGGGCUGGGUUAGUAGCCUAAGGCGUCGGGGGAACUCUCCUCAAGGAACUCGGCAAGUUGCCCCCGUACCUUCGGUAGAAGGGGGGCCCAUGGGGGUGAAGCCCUUGCGGCGUAAGCUCCUGUGGGUCGCAGAGACCGGGCGGUGCCGACUGUUUACCAAAAACACAGGACUACGCAAACCCGUAAGGGGAUGUAUGUGGUCUGAAGCCUGGCCAGUGCCCGUAGGUUAAGGGGAUGGGUGAUGAGCCCUGAACCGAAGCCCGGGUAAACGCCGGCCGUAACUAUGACGGUCCUAAGGUAGCGAAAUUCCUUGUCGGGUAAGUUCCGACCUGCAUGAAUGGCCCAACGAGUGCCGCACUGUCUCGAGGAGAGUCCCGGCGAAAUUGUGAUGCCGGUCAAGACGCCGGCUACCCGCGGCAGGACGGAAAGACCCCGUGAAGCUUCACUGCAGCCUGGUACUGAGUCCUAGCCUGUCCUGCGCAGGAUAGGUGGGAGCCUGUGAAGUCCCUACUCCGGUAGGGACGGAGGCGCCGGUGAGAUACCACCCUGGACAGGCUGGGACCCUAACCCAGCGGAGUUACCCUCCGCGGGGACCGUGCCAGGUGGGCAGUUUAGCUGGGGCGGCUGCCUCCUAAAAGGUAACGGAGGCGUCCAAAGGUCCCCUCAGGCGGGUCGGAAAUCCGCCGUAGAGUACAAGGGCAGAAGGGGGCCUGACUGCGAGGCCGACAGGCCGAGCAGAGGCGAAAGCCGGGCCUAGUGACCCACCGGUCCCACGAGGGAGGGCCGGUGAUCAGCGGAUAAAAGCUACUCCGGGGAUAACAGGCUAAUCUCCCCCGAGAGCCCACAUCGACGGGGAGGUUUGGUACCUCGAUGUCGGCUCCCCCCAUCCUGGGGCUGAAGCAGGUCCCAAGGGUUGGGCUGUUCGCCCAUUAAAGGGGGACGCGAGCUGGGUUCAGAACGUCGCGAGACAGUUCGGUCCCUAUCCGCCGCGGGCGCAGGAGUCUUGAGGGGGUCCGUCCCUAGUACGAGAGGACCGGGACGGGGCAGGCUCUGGUGUACCGGUUGUUCCUCCAGGAGCAGCGCCGGGUAGCCAUCCUGCUACGGGAUAAGCGCUGAAAGCAUCUAAGCGCGAAGCCCACCCCAAGAUAAGGACUCCCUGAAGGGCCGUGGGAGACUACCACGUUGAUAGGCCGCAGGUGGAAGCUCCGCAAGGGGUGAAGCCGAGCGGUACUAAUAGCCCGUUCGACUUGCACACC